rnacentral:rRNA from 1 species
UAGGGAAUCUUCGGCAAUGGGGGCAACCCUGACCGAGCAACGCCGCGUGAGUGAAGAAGGUUUUCGGAUCGUAAAGCUCUGUUGUAAGUCAAGAACGGGUGUGAGAGUGGAAAGUUCACACUGUGACGGUAGCUUACCAGAAAGGGACGGCUAACUACGUGCCAGCAGCCGCGGUAAUACGUAGGUCCCGAGCGUUGUCCGGAUUUAUUGGGCGUAAAGCGAGCGCAGGCGGUUUGAUAAGUCUGAAGUUAAAGGCUGUGGCUCAACCAUAGUUCGCUUUGGAAACUGUCAAACUUGAGUGCAGAAGGGGAGAGUGGAAUUCCAUGUGUAGCGGUGAAAUGCGUAGAUAUAUGGAGGAACACCGGUGGCGAAAGCGGCUCUCUGGUCUGUAACUGACGCUGAGGCUCGAAAGCGUGGGGAGCGAACAGGAUUAGAUACCCUGGUAGUCCACGCCGUAAACGAUGAGUGCUAGGUGUUGGAUCCUUUCCGGGAUUCAGUGCCGCAGCUAACGCAUUAAGCACUCCCGCCUGG